rnacentral:rRNA from 1 species
UACACUCCUACGGGAGGCAGCAGUGGGGAAUAUUGGACAAUGGGCGCAAGCCUGAUCCAGCCAUGCCGCGUGAGUGAUGAAGGCCCUAGGGUUGUAAAGCUCUUUCACCGGUGAAGAUAAUGACGGUAACCGGAGAAGAAGCCCCGGCUAACUUCGUGCCAGCAGCAGCGGUAAUACGAAGGGGGCUAGCGUUGUUCGGAUUUACUGGGCGUAAAGCGCACGUAGGCGGACUAUUAAGUCAGGGGUGAAAUCCCGGGGCUCAACCCCGGAACUGCCUUUGAUACUGGUAGUCUUGAGUUCGAGAGAGGUGAGUGGAAUUCCGAGUGUAGAGGUGAAAUUCGUAGAUAUUCGGAGGAACACCAGUGGCGAAGGCGGCUCACUGGCUCGAUACUGACGCUGAGGUGCGAAAGCGUGGGGAGCAAACAGGAUUAGAUACCCUAGUAGUCCCAUG